CUCACCCGGGCCGCGGCUCCUGCCCAGCUGCGCAGUGUGCACGUGAGCGCGCGUAGCGCUCGUUUCUAAUUUUAGCUCCGGCGGCCCUGGUGGGGUCCGGCGAGAGAGAGGAAAGAAAGAGUGGCAAUGGAGAAGAGAAAGGAAACAAGAUGGGGAAAUUGAGAAAGAGAGAGAUGUUUAUUGAAUGAUGAAUGAAUGAGUCAACAGGGAGCAAAAUACCAAAAAAGAAGCUACUGGAGGGGGUGCUCUAUCAAAAUGAGGGAAUAAACCAAGAGGAAGUGAAGAGGUGCUGGAACCAGAAACUCCAACUAGUGUUAUAAAGGAAUAGAGGUCUCUCACUGUUGUGGGCUCUCCCGUUGCGGAGCACAGGCUCCAGACGCGCAGGCUCAGCGGCCAUGGCUCACAGGCCCAGCCGCUCUGCGGCAUGUGGUAUCUUCCCGGACCGGGGCACGAACCUGCGUCCCCUGCAUCGGCAGGCGGACUCUCAACCACUGCGCCACCAGGGAAGCCUGUUUUUGUUGUUUUUUAAAGUAGGCCCUUGUAUAUGCCUAGAAAAAUUCUGGAAAGCUACACAAGAAAAUGUUAACAAUAGUUAAUUCUGAUAAAUUUACUGGGGGUUAGAAAUAAAGAAAAAGAUUUUUACUUGUCA